AUGAUUUCAAAACAUAUUUACCAGUCCGUUUUGAAAGUUCAGACUAGAACAGAACUUGUUGAGCUGUUGUACCAAAAUGUUUUGUACAAUGAAGGAGGUGUCAUUGCCAUAAACAAACCAUACGGACUGAGGAAUGGGAUGAAAUUUGAAGAUCCUCUUGAUGCCAAGUUUAAGAAUGUCAAUCAUUUCAACUUUAGCCUUACAGAAGUCUUACCUUUACUUGCUAGCAUGCUAAAUGUCCCAAACUUGACUGUAGCUAGAAGCCCUGAAAAGUUUGCUAGUGGUUUGACCCUUCUGAAUGUUAAUAAUGAAGCUGGAAUCAAAAUUAGUAAAGCAGUGAAGCAUCCAACUUCCCCUGCUGUUUACAGCUAUCAAGCUGUGUGUCAUGGUGUUCCUCUACUUUCCUCAAACAAUGGUGAACGAUUAGGUCUCACUACCAAUGAAAAUGACCAAUCUGUAAAAGUAUCAACAAAUCGGAUCUUAUGGUACUAUGUUCCAUUAUAUUUAGCUACGAGGCUGCUUACUCCUGUCAUAGGCGAUCAGAUUCACGGGAAUUCAGUGAAGUAUUUAUUCGGGAAACCAGUUCUCCUACCUGCGUUUAAUGUCACUGGGUUCAACCCUCAGGUAAAAAAUUCAAUAUUUUCUAUAUUUUAA
rnacentral:lncRNA from 1 species